GGCUUCAUGGUGGCUAUUUUCUGAAGGUGGCAGGAGAAGAUAAAACCAAAAUUCAGGGUUUGCUUUUUAAAUACCAUGCUAGUAAAAUCAGAACAGUAAUGACGGGAACCAAAAGAUCUAUCUGAAAUGUUCCUAAGCCAGACAGAUGUGAGGACGCACAAUGUAAACGUUAUGCAGCAGCUUUGGGAGAGGCUUUUUAUGGCUCUGUUUCUUUCCACUCACAGCACAGACUCGAGAAAUGUAGGGAACUCGAGAGCAGCCACUCGGCCCCAGGAUCAACCCAGCACCGAAGAAAAACAACCAGAAGAAAUUAUUCUUCAGCCUGAAAUGAAGCCGGGAUCAAAUGGUUGCUGAUCAGAGCCCAUAUUUAAAUUGGAAAAGUCAAAUUGAGCAUUAUUAAAUAAAGCUUGUUUAAUAUGUCUCAAACAGAAAA
rnacentral:lncRNA from 1 species